UUGACCUCGGAUCAGGUAGGGAUACCCGCUGAACUUAAGCAUAUCAAUAAGCGGAGGAAAAGAAACCAACAGGGAUUGCCUUAGUAACGGCGAGUGAAGCGGCAAUAGCUCAAAUUUGAAAGCUGGCGUCUUCGACGUCCGCGUUGUAAUUUGUAGAGGAUGCUUCGGCGAAGACUCCUGCCUAAGUCCCCUGGAACGGGGCGUCAUAGAGGGUGAGAAUCCCGUAUGUGGCGGGCAGUCUAAGCCAUGUGAAGCUCCUUCGACGAGUCGAGUUGUUUGGGAAUGCAGCUCUAAAUGGGAGGUAAAUUUCUUCUAAAGCUAAAUAUUGGCCAGAGACCGAUAGCGCACAAGUAGAGUGAUCGAAAGAUGAAAAGCACUUUGGAAAGAGAGUUAAAAAGUACGUGAAAUUGUUGAAAGGGAAGCGCUUGCAACCAGACUCGCUCGUAGUUGCUCAGCCGGCCUCUUGGCCGGUGUACUCUUCUACGAUCGGGCCAGCAUCAGUUCGGGCGGCAGGAUAAAGGUGUCGGGAAUGUAGCACCCUUCGGGGUGUGUUAUAGCCCGGCGCGGAAUGCUGCCAGCCUGGACUGAGGAUCUCGCUUCGGCAAGGAUGCUGGCGUAAUGGUUGUAAGCGGCCCGUCUUGAAACACGGACCAAGGAGUCUAACAUCUAUGCGAGUGUUUGGGUGUCAAACCCAUGCGCGUAAUGAAAGUGAACGGAGGUGGGAACCCCUCACGGGGUGCACCAUCGACCGAUCCUGAUGUCUUCGGAUGGAUUUGAGUAAGAGCAUAGCUGUUGGGACCCGAAAGAUGGUGAACUAUGCCUGAAUAGGGUGAAGCCAGAGGAAACUCUGGUGGAGGCUCGCAGCGGUUCUGACGUGCAAAUCGAUCGUCAAAUUUGGGUAUAGGGGCGAAAGACUAAUCG
rnacentral:rRNA from 2 species